CCUACGUGAGGCAGCAGUGGGGGAUAUUGCACAAUGGGGGAAACCCUGAUGCAGCGACGCCGCGUGAGUGAAGAAGUAUUUCGGUAUGUAAAGCUCUAUCAGCAGGGAAGAAAAUGACAGUACCUGACCAAGAAGCCCCGGCUAACUACGUGCCAGCAGCCGCGGUAAUACGUAGGGGGCAAGCGUUAUCCGGAUUUACUGGGUGUAAAGGGAGCGUAGACGGUUAUGUAAGUCUGGAGUGAAAGCCCGGGGCCCAACCCCGGGACUGCUUUGGAAACUGUGUAACUGGAGUACAGGAGGGGCAGGCGGAAUUCCUAGUGUAGCGGUGAAAUGCGUAGAUAUUAGGAGGAACACCAGUGGCGAAGGCGGCUUACUGGACUGUAACUGACGUUGAGGCUCGAAAGCGUGGGGAGCAAACAGGAUUAGAUACCCUUGUAGUC
rnacentral:rRNA from 1 species